rnacentral:rRNA from 1 species
AGUGAACGCUGGCGGCGUGCCUAACACAUGCAAGUCGUGCGAGAAAGGGAGCAAUCCUGAGUAAAGCGGCGAACGGGUGAGUAACACGUGGUUAACCUGCCUGGAUGUGGGGGAUACCCCGGGGAAACCCGGGACAAUACCGCAUGAUGUCUCUCGGGCGUCGGCCUGGGAGAGCAAAGCCGGGGACCGCAAGGCCUGGCGCAUCCAGAGGGGACCGCGGCCGAUUAGCUAGUUGGCGGGGUAAUGGCCCACCAAGGCAUCGAUCGGUAGCCGGCCUGAGAGGGUGAACGGCCACACCGGAACUGAGACACGGUCCGGACUCCUACGGGAGGCAGCAGUGGGGAAUUUGCGCAAUGGGCGAAAGCCUGACGCAGCAACGCCGCGUGAAGGAUGAAGGUGCUCUGCAUUGUAAACUUCUGUCGGCCGGGAAGAAUCGGCGGGGGUGCGUAAAUCAGCCCCGUUUGACUGUACCGGCAAAGG